GGACGAACGCUGGCGGCGUGCUUAACACAUGCAAGUCGAACGGUGAUGCUCCAGCUUGCUGGAGUGGAUCAGUGGCGAACGGGUGAGUAACACGUGAGCAACCUGCCCCAGACUCUGGAAUAAGCGCUGGAAACGGCGUCUAAUACUGGAUACGAAACUGGCCCGCAUGGGCAUGGUUUGGAAAGUUUUUCGGUUUGGGAUGGGCUCGCGGCCUAUCAGCUUGUUGGUGAGGUAAUGGCUCACCAAGGCGACGACGGGUAGCCGGCCUGAGAGGGCGACCGGCCACACUGGGACUGAGACACGGCCCAGACUCCUACGGGAGGCAGCAGUGGGGAAUAUUGCACAAUGGGCGAAAGCCUGAUGCAGCGACGCCGCGUGAGGGAUGACGGCCUUCGGGUUGUAAACCUCUUUCAGCAGGGAAGAAGCGAAAGUGACGGUACCUGCAGAAGAAGCACCGGCUAACUACGUG
rnacentral:rRNA from 1 species